rnacentral:rRNA from 1 species
CAUUAGUUUUUUAAUUGAAAACUUGUAUGAAUGGUUGGACAAAGAAAAAGCUGUCUCUUCUAUUAAAAUUGAAAUUAACUUCUAAGUGAAAAGGCUUAGAUUUUCUAGAGGGACGAUAAGACCCUAUAAAGCUUUAUAGAUUGAGUGGAUUAAACCAAUUUUUUAGAAUAAAAGUAAAUUUGGAAGAUUUAUUUGGUUGGGGCGACAAAUGUAUAAUGUUAAAUAACUGCUAUUAAAUUUAAACAAUUAUAUUUGAUAAAAAUUUAAAUGAUCCUUAAUAAAGAUUAAAAGAUCAAGUUACUUUAGGGAUAACAGCGUAAUUUCUUUUAAGAGUUCUUAUCAAAGAAGGAGUUUGCGACCUCGAUGUUGAAUUAAAAUGUCUUUAUAGUGCAGCAGCUAUAAAAGAAGGUCUGUUCGACCUUUAAUUUUUUACAUGAUUUGAGU